AUCUGGUUGAUCCUGCCAGUAGUCAUAUGCUUGUCUCAGAGAUUGAACCAUGCAUGUCUAAUUACAUACCAUGAUACGGUGAAACCGCGAAUGGUUCAUUGAAUCAGCUAUGGUUCCUCGAAUCGUACAUACUACAUGGACAACUGCAGUAAUUCUAGAGCUAAUACAUGCCACUAUGCCCUGACCCGCGAAGGAACGGGUAGAUUUAUUAGAACAGAACCAACCGGGGGCGGCUUCGGUCGUCCCUGUUGCAUUCUGUGAUGACUCUGGAUAACUUCACUGAUCGCAGUCGGCCUUGUGUCGGCGACGGAUCUUUCAAAUGUCUGCCCUAUCAAUUUUCGAUGGUAGGUGACCUGCCUACCAUGGUGCUAACGGGUAACGGGGAAUCAGGGUUCGAUUCCGGAGAGGGAGCCUGAGAAACGGCUACCACUUCCAAGGAAGGCAGCAGGCACGCAAAUUACCCAAUCCCGGCAUGGGGAGGUAGUGACGAAAAAUACGGAUAGGGACUCACUAGAGGCUCCGAAUGAGUACAAUUUAAAUCCUUUAACGAGGAUCAACUGGAGGGCAAGUCUGGUGCCAGCAGCCGCGGUAACUCCAGCUCCAGAAGCGUAUAUUAAAGUUGUUGCAGUUAAAAAGCUCGUAGUUGGAUCUGGGUCGCAUGGCUACAUGCCGUCGCUCGUGGGUCUGGCCUGGUUACUGCCGGGUUGAGCUUGCGAGUCGGUCUCGUGGUUGUGCUUCCUUUCUGCUGUGUCUGUUUACGGGUGUCAGCGUGACUGGUGGGCUUGCCUGCUAGUCUGUUGGCAUGCUUCUCGGUGCCUUUAAUCGGGUGUCGGAGGCGGACAUCACGUUUACUUCUGACAAAUUUGAGUGCUCAAAGCAGGCCUUUGUGCCUGAAAAUUCUUGCAUGGAAUAAUGGAAUAGGACUUCGGUUCUAUUUUGUUGGUUUUCGGAUCCGAAGUAGUGGUUAAGAGAGACAGACGGGGGCAUUUGUAUGGCGGUGUUAGAGGUGAAAUUCUUGGAUCGCCGCCAGACAAACUACAGCGAAAGCAUUUGCCAAGGAUGUUUUCAUUGAUCUUGAGCGAAAGUCAGAGGUUCGAAGACGAUCAGAUACCGUCCUAGUUCUGACCAUAAACGAUGCCAACUGACGAUCCGUGGUGGUUCUUUAUGUGUCCCCACGGGCAGUCCCCGGGAAACCCUUAAGUCUUUGGGCUCCGGGGGAAGUAUGGUUGCAAAGCUGAAACUUAAAGGAAUUGACGGAAGGGCACCACCAGGAGUGGAGCCUGCGGCUUAAUUCGACUCAACACGGGAAAACUCACCCGGCCCGGACACUGUGAGGAUUGACAGAUUGAUAGCUCUUUCUUGAUUCGGUGGUUGGUGGUGCAUGGCCGUUCUUAGUUGGUGGAGCGAUUUGUCUGGUUAAUUCCGAUAACGAACGAGACUCUGGCCUGCUAAAUAGUAUGCCUGUCCUCUGUGCUCGUGCAGGUUGCGUUGUCCAUUGCCUCCUCGUGGGGUAGUGGUNNNNNNNNNNCUCUAAUCAAACUAUACAACGCCAUGGUUGCAACAAACCAUGCCUGGCAGAACAAGGGGUGAAACAAACCUCAGGGGGCCCAGCACCGAAAAGGCACCCUGGGCAACAAGCCCCACCUUGUCUGACGUCUUUUGCGUAUUGUAGAUGCAAACUGGAACUUUCCUCCUAUGGCGUUCUACUUCAAUCCCGGUGUACUCUGCGUUGAGCAAUCAUCGACUUUCACAGUGGGAUGGCCACAGCUCAGAUUCCGGCAAAAUAUCCAGCGCCUCCUUAAGAUUACACACCCACCCACGAAGCCGGAAACCACCACCUGAUGGUAACUCACUCAUCUGAAUAGCAAAAUCUUUUGCAUUCUCCAGAGUAGGCGAGGACUAAUUGCAGUCUCAUGCAUAGAAUUUUUCAUGCAUGGCCCAGGGGACGUAAUACUCGUGCCCCCCUUUCCAGUCGUCCGCCGCCAGACGUAAACCGAAAUUUGCACAAAAUGUGGAGAAAGGCAACAAAUGGGUGAGCAUUCAUUUGAUAUUCAGCCAGAUUAUUACUCAGUCAACCAUCUUCCAGCGGAAGUAUCCUCAGUGUUCCCCCGUCUAUGUCGUGGUACGAGCCCGCACAAACAUUUCUUCAAUAUCAAAGACCAAAGCAACAGAUUUCUUUCAAAAUCAAAGGACACUUCACAUAGACUUACUGCUUUGUCCGGUCCUCGUAGCAAGUAAUCAUUCAAGAAGCUUCUCUGGAAGGCGACUGCGCAGUCAAACACAGCCCUCAACUUGUUAGGCUUCUUAGGGUUUGUUACUUCAAGACGUAGUAAGUGCCACUUAGGCUCAAAACCCCAUUUUAACUUUGUAUUGGGAACAACUGAGCGACACACUUGCGCAAGUAUUUCUCUGGUAUUGUACAGUAUUUGCCAAGGACUUCCGGAUCACGCGCGAGAGUUUUCCUCAGGCUGUUAAACCUCUGUUUUGCCACAGUAUAAUUACUUGGAAGACUCACCACAGGAUUUCUUCGUGGAGGUUCAAACUCAGUGUAAACCCAGCUAAAUUUCUGGCAUCGGCAAUCAUACCAACAGCCUGUAUGUCUCCUAGCGAAAGUGAGUUUUUGACUCGUCCCCAUCGCAGAAACCGACGUCGUACAGAUUUAUUUACUUGUUCCGCCAAGGGAUCGGUUUUCAUCUCAAUGUGGUUACCGUCCUCAAGAAGAAUGGUUCCCGGUUUAUUGGACUAAGAACAAUCCAUCCCAAAGUCGUCCUCACGGAAUAGGGUUGUUUUCUUC
rnacentral:rRNA from 1 species